CCUACGGGGGGCAGCAGUCGGGAAUAUUGCGCAAUGGAGGAAACUCUGACGCAGUGACGCCGCGUAUAGGAAGAAGGUUUUCGGAUUGUAAACUAUUGUCGUUAGGGAAGAAAAAAGACAGUACCUAAGGAGGAAGCUCCGGCUAACUACGUGCCAGCAGCCGCGGUAAUACGUAGGGAGCAAGCGUUAUCCGGAAUUAUUGGGUGUAAAGGGUGCGUAGACGGGAGUCUAAGUUAGUUGUGAAAUCCCUCGGCUCAACUGAGGAACUGCAACUAAAACUGGGCAUCUUGAGUGCAGGAGAGGAAAGUGGAAUUCCUAGUGUAGCGGUGAAAUGCGUAGAUAUUAGGAGGAACACCAGUGGCGAAGGCGACUUUCUGGACUGUAACUGACGUUGAGGCACGAAAGUGUGGGGAGCAAACAGGAUUAGAUACCCGUGUA
rnacentral:rRNA from 1 species